rnacentral:rRNA from 1 species
GAUGAACGCUAGCGGCAGGCCUAAUACAUGCAAGACGAACGGUAACUUUGGUAGCAAUAUUGAAGCAAGAGUGUCGUAAGGGUGCGUAACACGUAUGCAAUCUGCCCUCAACAGGAGGAUAGCUCCCCGAAAGGGGAAUUAACACUCCAUAAGAUUGUGGUCUGGCAUCAGACAGCAAUUAAAACUACGGUGGUUGAGGAUGAGCAUGCGCAUGAUUAGUUAGUUGGCGGGGUAACGGCCCACCAAGACGAUGAUCAUUAGGGGAACUGAGAGGUUGAUCCCCCACACUGGCACUGAGAUACGGGCCAGACUCCUACGGGAGGGCAGCAGUUAGGGGAAUAUUGGACAAUGGGUGGCGAGCCUGAUCCAGCCAUGCCGCGUGC